AAGUACUCAAACCCUAUCCCCAUUUAUGGCGAUUGACGGACGAUUACAAACAAACUCGUUCUAGCCCAUUGCCUUCUAGUGAUAGUCAACAGGUUGCCUUUGGCCGUUCGACGCCUUCUUCUUUUCCUCGUUCCUUUCAGCUGUUUCAGGUCGACCUUGCCUCGUCGUCUUCUUCUGUUGUUGGUCGCUCUCUUCCCUUCGAUCACGAUUAAAGGUAGCUAGGUUUCUUUCUUACAAUGGAUGAGAAGCAACAGAUUGUGGUCAAAGCGAGACUCAGUCUUGGAUCGGAAAGUCAUUCUGUUGAAGGGUGCAAGGGGGGGAUGGUUUCAGAACAGGUGGUGUAUGUGAAAGGGGAAUGUAUGUCCAUAUUCAAGGAAUUUAUUACCAAACAUAAUGUUCCAAAUGAUGUCCCAGAUCCAGAUGAAAUAGUGUCAUCUGAAGAUGAUGAGACUCCUUCCCAUGUCGUCAAGUCAAAGAAGAUUAGAAGAGAAAGUAAUUGAUUAAGAGAGGCCAGCCCAGGUCAAGUCAAUUUAACAAGCUUGGAAAGCAGAAGACAUAGUAACUUUGGUUAUUCUUGAUUUGGAUGUUGUGAAAUUCAGAUAGAUUUAAAGGACAUGUGAUUAUUGUCUUGUAAACUUUUUUGUUGUUGGAAGUCAAAAAACUUUGAUUUUGA